GGGUCAGCAGUUUAGUGGUUACAGUGUCUGGCCUGAUACCAGAAGGCUGUGGGUUUGAUCCCCGGUUGAGUCU